rnacentral:misc_RNA from 1 species
UUUGGAAGUACAAUUUUUUUUAAAGAAUUUUCUAAUGUUUUAAGUGCUUUGAUAAAUUGUUCAAUAAUAUUUUUCUGAUCAAAGGAAAAAUUAACUCAUUUUCAAGGAAAAUAAUUAUCUUUUUCAAAGCAUUCAUUCUUUGGACACCUACAAAUGCACAAAGUUAUGUGCCUAGCAGAUAUUGACGUAGGCAUACGCCUGAAACUUAACCUUCUAUUGCCUACUGCAAUUGAACAUGCCAUUUUGUCAUUGUCCAUUACCAGGCUUUAGCAACUACAGCAAUUCAUCAUUUUUUCUUCAAGAGAAGAAUGUGAGUUCUUAUAGGUCUAAAAUUUCUCAUGGUCUAUCCUCAAAAAGAAAAAAAAAAUUAUGG